GGGAGGAGGUUGACAGAAGCCACAGAUGUGGCGGGAGGAAGGGGUCUGAGUCAGCGUGUACAGGAGGGCAGUGCUGUUGCAGGGUCCAGGCGUUUUGUGGAUCCUAAAGUAGUGCUGAUUUAUUCUUUCUGGCAUUUUGUCCCUACCUUGCCCUGUGUGAAGGCUAGUAGGCCCAGCACCAGUGAGAUACAGACAGAAGGGGACAGCCUCACAGCACCCAUGGACCAAGAAAAUAGGGAGGCCGGUGCAUGCUUUGCUAUUGUUUGGGGGUUUCUUGAAUCUUAACCAUCUUGGAUCUGUUGAGUUGAGCCUGGACAGUAUCGGAAAGCAAAACAGUGCCACGGGCCCCAGGGCUGCGGCUGCCCACCUGUUGUUGAGUGAAACCUGGUUCCAGUUACAUUCAAAAGCUCCACCCCCACAGAGG